GAAGCACCGGCUAACUCCGUGCCAGCAGCCGCGGUAAUACGGAGGGUGCGAGCGUUAAUCGGAAUUACUGGGCGUAAAGCGCAUGCAGGUGGUUUGUUAAGUUCAGAUGUGAAAGACCCGGGGCGUCAACCUCCGGAAUUGCAUUUGAAACUAGGCAGACUAGAGUACUGUAGAGGGGGUAGGAAGUUUCUAGGUGUAGCGGUGAAAUAGCGUAGAGAUCUGAAGGAAUACCGGUGGCGAAGGCGGCCCCCUCGGACAGAUACUGACACUCAGAUGCGAAAGCGUGGGGAGCAAACAGGAUUAGAUACCCUGGUAG
rnacentral:rRNA from 1 species